CUCCCCGGGUUCCGCUCAGAAUAAAAGCUGGGGCCCUGGCUGGGGACAUGUGCCCUGGCCCCAAGCCACUGCCAGCCAUUUGCAUCACAAAUGAGACUCAGGCUGUUGGGCUCCAGCCAGCCGGCCUGGUGCUGCCCUCGGUGACUUAAGGACACGAGCCAGGAUCCAGCUGCUGCCCCCGCUGCCCCCUCCCCCAGCUGUCUCACCACACCCUCCGGGGAGUCACGGGCUCUCCAGCCUGCUCGGGAUCCUCCUGACCAGGCAGCCCUCCUCAGCAGCCGGCCAAGGAGGGCUCUCGAAGGUCAGGGGGGCUCAGGACUUGACAUCUUUUAGCUCUCAUGCCAGGCCUCUUUACAGAGGAGGAAUCUGAGGUUCCAAGAGGGGGACUGAUAUGCCCAAGGCUGCUCGGCUAAUAGCCCGCAGAGCGGGGACUGGAACCCAUGGCAUUCUGCUCUAGAAGCUGCACUGUGGAUGUGGGCCACCCCUCGAGGCUCAUCUGUGUCUGUCCACCGGGCAGUGAGCACCGGUAGCUGAGUGCUGGCAGCUGUCGGAAACCCAUACAGUCGCCUAGCUAAGUAGGUGACGGCGUUGCGCUCCGAAUGCAGGCAGCCUGACUCCGUGGCAGCGGGAAACAUGCACUCACAGCCUGGAUUUUCUGGGACAACCCUGAUUUCAGUAUUCGUCUCUGCAUAAGAGCUCGAGAGAGAGAGACAGCGAGAGAGGGAACACAAGCAGGGGAGCUGGAGAGGGAGAAGCAGGCUCCCCGCUGAGCACGAAGCCCAACACGGGGCUCGAUCCCAGGACCACGACCCGAGACGAAGGCACAGAGGACGUCGUGAUAUUCAAAGAAAAUGGGCGCACGGCAUGCUUGGUGCGUCUUUGGUGUCUGGCUGACCCGGCCUCCUGUCCUGAGGGGCGGGGGGAAGCCGCCUUCCUGGCUCGCCUCCUCCUGGCCAAACGCAGAUGCAGGUUUUGGACCAAAUGACUACAAGAUCUGGAGGUCACAAGUCCCACACGGGCCUCGAGGGGCUGCGUUCCUUCUGGAGGCUCCGGGGGAGAGUCCGUUUCCUGCUCAUCAGGUCGUCGGCAGAAUCCAGCGUCCUGUGGCUGGAGGCCUGACAUCUUUGGAAGGCGGCAGUCUGCUUACCGCGGGAAUGAAGUCCUGGGUGUCCGUGAGGUCACGAACGGAUUUGUUGCCAGAAACUGAAUUGUCGUUUAGCAAUUAGGCCCCCGGUUGUGUUCGGCCUGCACAUAGCCAGUCAGGUGGAGGUCAGGUGUGAGCAGGGAGGCCGGGACGCUGAGCCACAGCGUCCUUUUCCUCCCCACUUCUGAGCUGUCCUGGACGGGUCCUUGUUAUUCCGGCCUCGGGGGUUCCCUGCCUCCCUGGCUAGCUCCUCCCCGAACGCACAGCUCGCCAAGGCCAGCUCACUCUUUCUGGAACACACUUCCCCAUCUGACAAUACCUCCUGAAAUGUGCCCAAGGCAGAGAACCUCUCUUGUCUCCACCCUCCGCCCGGCUCUCCCAGAGGACAGCUCUGCGUCUGAGGUUAAGGACCAAGUGGCCAAGGGUGGUCGUUUCGUUGAGGCCUAGAUGGUGGGGUGCCCACAUCAGCCCCCAGUUCUGGCAGUGGCUGGGGAGGCAGGCCAGGGCGGCUCGGGCACCCGGGCUUCCGAGUCACACUGCCUGGGUUCAAAUCCUGGCUCCACGUGAGAGCUGGGGAGCCUGGAGCAUGUUUCUUGACUUCUCUGUGCCUUGCUUUCCUCUCUUGUAAAAGGUGAAUAAUGAUGGCAUUUCCCUCAAGGGAUGGUUGAUUGAAUGAGAUAAUCAGCGCCAACUGCUUGCACUGGGGAGAGCCUGGAACUUUCGCCAUGGGUUGGUAAUCCCACGGUCAUCACUGUCAUGGGGUCAGCACAUGCUCCGCACUCGCACUGCAGCUGUGGGCUCGGUGGGCAUCCUGCAUCAGCCGAGGCUCUGUCUGGGCAUCAUGUGGGCAGGGGCACAGGGUGCUUGGGGGGGACAAGGAGCUGGCACGUGUUUCUCCCAGGCUUGUACUCCCUCUAAAGAAAAGUUCAAAAAGCAGCAACUUCAACUCUCUUUACUUGGGAUUCUGUUUCUCUUUUACAGGCCGUGUGAGAUGGCUUUGACCUUCGAUCUCGCCCCGCUCAGCACCGGGGGUGUCUAGGCAAAGCUCUGGCCAAAUUUCUAAGGCUCUUUCUAAAGGGCAGAUGCCAUUCAGGGCUAUCCCAUGUGAUCCUCAAAGUCCCUUGCAGAAAAGGUGGGAUUACCCUCCGUCUAUACAGAUAGUAAUAAUGGUAGGAGAUACUGCUUAGCACUUCCUAGGUACCAGGGUCUGUGCCAAGCACGAUCAAGAAUCCAAGGGGUGGCCUGUCUUACAGAGUGAGAACUAGCUGGCAUCCCUUACAAAUGGGAGGAGGUAGCAGGAAUCCAAGACCAGGCUGGUCUUACUCAGCCUGCGCUCUUUCUUCUGUCGCCUGAUUAAACAAUAAUUCCAGAUUUUUAAUUUCCCCUAAAGCACCAGCUUCCUCCUUGACACCAUGCUGAGCACAUUUGGACGUGGGGAGAGAAGGGGAAAAGUCACCAUCUCCUAGUUGAGGCUUGGUUACUCUGAUAGAUGUCCUUGCAGAGCCACAUCACUCUGCAAAGAGAAACUUCGGUUGUAAAAGAUGAAUGUUGUGCCCAUCUAGAUCAGAUUUAGAAAGCCCCAUGCUGGGAGUUGUGCUACUUACAAAUAUUGCUCAUUAUUAGGUUGCUUUUACCGUUUGGUAAGGCAUUUAAAUCCCCCAUCAAGUAAGUGAAUUGCUAUUAAUUUAAAAGAAUAGCCUUGGAUUUCCACUUCUUUCUAAAUAAAGUCUCAGGGAGAGAAAAGGGACAGGUGGACAUUACAGGUGAAUUUUGUUGUAUAUUUGUAAAAUUCCAAGGUGUGUGCAAAUGAGAACAAACACGGGGAUGCGGAUAUUAGCUUAAGCUUGCUGCGAGCGUGCCACUUCUUAACUCACUCUGAAAAAUCCAAUACUUCAAAAAAAAAAAAAUCUUUACUAUGCUGCUACAGUAAAUGGAAAACACUACCGCUUGCCAGAAGCAAUACUCAUCAUUGUCAUUAUUAGUGGGGACAUUGUGAGCAUUCACCCCAUGGCAGGAACUGCCAGAAUGCUUUGUAGACUGUGUGACAGGUUCUUCCUCGUGGAUGUUACUCUAGGAGACUGGCUCCAUUAUUCCCAUUGACAGAUGAAGAAACUGAGGUCCAGUCCUCCUUAGUACAUCAACGAUAGGGGUGUCAAUGAAGACAGGAAACCUACUUCGAUCCAUCUUUUUAAUGCACCUGAAUUGCCUUGUUCCCCUCUUCCCGCCCCUGACUCCACUCACCUAUCUCCUAUCAUCCUUAAAAGUUGAGAAACUUUGCCCAGUGUCACCCCUCCGCCCCCAGCCUAGGCUGGAGGAGGCCCUCUCCCCUCCCACCUCUGGAGCUCGGAGGCACCCACCACAGGCCUGUCCAUAUGCACCCUUCUCCUUCAGCAGGCGGGCUCCUCCGGGGCAGGGACAGAGCCCCCCCACUCCCCCUCCCCAGCCAGGGCACACGCUGGGGGCUCAGUGAACACUUGUUGAGUAGAUGAGUGGAGGAAGCGAAUGCGGAAAGCAAGUCAGAACCAGGGUCCUGCACAGCUGAGGUGCCCCGGUGCUUGAGGUGGUCCUUGCCUUUGGUUUCAGUGAUGAUGUGUCUCUUUUUAGGGCCACUGCUCUGAGCCUCUACAAAAUGGGACAACAGAGGAAGGGAAACACACUACUGCAACUCAUUAAGUGAGUUAAUACUGUGGCAUCUGGAGCCGUUCCUGGCUCAGAACAAAUGCUCAAAAAGAUCAGUAACAUUAUUUAUUAUCAUGCUAUAUAUUGUCUAUCCACAUAUAAUCACCAUUUAUGACAGGUGAUGUUGGUUUUCCAUUUACGGUCGUGUUGUGUGGUUUCAGUUGAAAAUAAAUGUAUUUGAUUCUUAAAAGUGAGUUGAAAAGGAUUAAAUAUCAGCGAGUUGGUACCCAGUCUGGUCCAGUUCCUGCAGUGGUAUUGAACGACGGGGUAACAAGACCCCAGGGGAAAGGAACUCAGUGUGGGGCAGCUUUUGUAAUCACAGGCUGGUUGCCUGGAGUCCAGGGCCACUUGGCCAUCCUUGUGGCCAUCCUUGUGGCCUGGGGCACUGAGUGGCCGUGGAGAGGCCAAGGGUCAU